rnacentral:rRNA from 1 species
CGCGGCCUAUCAGCUUGUUGGUGGGGUAACGGCCUACCAAGGCUAUGACGCGUAGCGGGUCUGAGAGGAUGAUCCGUCACACUGGGACUGAGACACGGCCCAGACUCCUACGGGAGGCUGCAGUCGGGAAUCUUCCACAAUGGCCGCAAGGCUGAUGGAGCGACACCGCGUGCGGGAGGAAGGCCUUCGGGGUGUAAACUGCUGUCAGGGGGGACGAAUGCCGGUGGGUUAAAUACCCACGUGUGGUGACACGCCCUACGAAGGAACGGCUAACUACCUGCCUGCCACCGCCCUAAUACAGACGGAGGAAGCAUUGUUCGGAUUCAAUGACUGUAAAUAAAACGUGGGCAGGUCGUUCCUUUAGAUGCUUGAUAAAUUCGCUCACUCAUGUCCCUAUGUCCGAGACAGACUGGCUCACUGUCGACUGGGGUAAGCGAACCUCCUUCCGGAAGUAUGAAAGGUGUGCAUAUCUGUAAGAACAAACGCGGGUAACGAAGGUUACUGGUUGGAUUCUGACUGACACUCGUCCAAGCUAGCGUGGCGAACGGAAUCGAAUACAUACGCUGUCCUACCACUCCACGAUCGAUACUAACUAAUGGCUCUUCCCUAUGACGGUCACUGUGUGAGCUCUUGUGUUCUAUGUGCCGCCUGUGGAGAACAGAGUCUAUCGAUGAUCCCCUUGCUCCGAGCUCGAAGGCGUCACGCUGGUCGUAGGUGAUUCCUGCGUGCAACUGCUGUCCCCUCACAUUUCCGCGAGACAUAUGAUCCGGAAUGUUGUGCUGUAAAGCCGGUAGUGCCUUCGGACCGACCAUACUCGCCUUAAGUGCGUUGGCGCUCACUGCCCUCACUCAUGGUCGGGAAACUGUGUGCCAUCUGCUUACAUUGAAUGGGCC